GGCUCAGGACGAACGCUGGCGGCGUGCUUAACACAUGCAAGUCGAACGGUGAAGCGGAGCUUGCUCUGCGGAUCAGUGGCGAACGGGUGAGUAACACGUGAGCAACCUACCCUUGACUCUGGGAUAACAGUUGGAAACAGCUGCUAAUACCGGAUAUGACCCUGGUGGACAUCCACUGGGGUGGAAAGCUCCGACGGUCAAGGAUGGGCUCGCGGCCUAUCAGCUUGUUGGUGAGGUAACGGCUCACCAAGGCGUCGACGGGUAGCCGGCCUGAGAGGGCGACCGGCCACACUGGGACUGAGAUACGGCCCAGACUCCUACGGGAGGCAGCAGGUGGGGAAUAUUGCACAAGUGGGACGAAAGCCUGAUUCGCAGCAACGCCGCGUGGCGGGAUGGACCGGUCCGUUCGGGUUAGUAAACCGUCUUUCAGCGAGGGACGAAGGGUUUCUGACGGUACCUGCAGAAGAAGCACCGGCUAACUACGUGCCAGCCGCGGC
rnacentral:rRNA from 1 species